CAAUAAUCCUGGUAGCGUUGUAUAAAUCUUUCCUUCCCAAGAACUAGACGACACAUAGGCUGGGGGUCAACUGAGGUUUUAAUCACAAGUCACAGUAUUUAUGUGGUUCCCCAUGCAAGGGUUGUACAGUAGGGGACUACAUGGGGGACUUGACAACCAAGACAUUUCUCCCACCAUGCACUGCUGCACGAGAGGGAUACUCCCACUAAAAUAUCCAGUUAAGUGGAUUAUCCCUCCGUGCAGCAGAACUGGCUUUUUACACAAAAAUACAUAACUUUACCAUUAUUCCUGCUAUUAUACCGAAUUCGGCAGAUAGCUGGGGUCUGAGCACAUACUUUGUGAAAGUACCGCUCAGAUCCCAGCACAAUAAGCCGAACGCCGCACGAACUACACAAACAUACAUUUCUCAACAAAGGCACGAAUAGAACAACAGGGAUAAAAUACCGAAAGACCGAUGCUCCCAAACGGCCUGGAAGUCCAGCGGUAUUCGUGCCAUCGAGUAGCCGAUUUUAGUUCCAGGCACUCGACGACAAAAUACCACUGGGCUAACAAAGGAUACAAGUUGGCCGACCGCCGCGUGGUCGGUAUCCGAACGGCGGCCACCCCGAACAUUCAUUAACUACCGAAAGAUACAGUGUUACGAUACUUAAUGGGAGCCACACGACCUCCUGUGUGUGGUGUCCCAUUCGGUAGUUUGUUCAUUUCACGAACAGUGUUGAAAUUCACUGUUCGUGAAACUACUGUAUGAAUGCUGGUGGCUUUCAUGCCGCCAGCAUACGAAUGCUCUCGUUCACAUCAAAUACAUACAAGGAAUACACUCAGUUCAGAUAGCCUUAAAGCUACAGCAUCACAUUACUGAACAUACAGUCUUAAGUGGCUAGUUUUGCCACAGACGGUUCAUCGGGACAACUAUUGCAAGGCACGAACAAAGUAAGGGCUACCUCCGGACCUUCAGCAUUGGGCGACCUGGCAGGACACCCGAGCUACAGAUCAUCUCUGCAGAUCCUGCUGAAUUCGCUCAGAUCUCUGACCUAAAGCGUUUGUCAGUAGCGGAGCCUCUCUGCCUGCAUAAAUCUCACCUACUGCCAUAUCAUAAGCAAUAUUUAACCAUUUUUAACAAUUUCAUCUGCACUGUUAGUAAAUGUGUCUAUUUCUAUUUAUCUCUGACAUAUUGCACGAUUGUUUUGGAUUUUUUUGUUCUCUCUUUGCAUGUCAUCGAGAUUUAUCCACAAAAUAUAAGUAUACAUAUUUGAUUUACUUUCAAUUCACAUAAGAUCUAUAGGCGGAUUUUCCUGCCAUCUGCGCUCCACUUAGCUUUCACAUUUCUAAGUAUAAUUAUAUAUCAUCUUCGGCAAACCGGUCUGAAAUCAGCGAAACAAGUCAAUUUAUUUAUGUAUGAAAAUAAAAACAUGACAUUAAUUUAAUCAUUUGUUUUUAAUAGUUCAAGUUGAUGUUUUUGUCUGUUAGAAUAUUUAAUAAUUUCCUCCGAUAACCCUCCACGUACAGGACAGGUCUGGGAGUAGGUGUUUUAUUGUCCUGAGUUAUCCCAUUGUCCAUGCUGGAGAAGGCCUCCUGGAUGGCGGUACACAGGCUCUGGAUGCUAUCCGGGGGGCCAUCCCAUCUGCCGGCCUCCGAUCACAUGCAGAUGGAGGUGGUACACAGACUGUGCCCCUUGCUUCCCAUCAUUAAUCACUGCAGAUAAUGGAAGCAGAGACAGACUGACUGACACAUAGAAAGACACACAAAGUCUUAAAGCAGUCUAAAGCAAGAUUAAAUACGAUGAUACAAAUUUACAGUAAGAUAGCUCAAACUCUAGGGCAGGCUUUCCUAAACUCCAGCCCUCCAGAUGUUGUGGAUGUGGAUGUUACAGCUGUGGUUGUUACAGCUGUGGUUUGUAGGAUGAUGUUCAGAUGUGGGAGUGUUGCAGCAGAGGUCUGUGGUGGGCAGUUAUAUGGUGUUACAGCUGUGGACUGUGGGGGGGGGGGCAGGUGUAGGGUGAGGUUCAGAAGUGGGGGUGUUGCAGCUGAGGUUUUGGGACGGGGGCAGCAGUUGCAGGGGUGAGAGGUGGGGUUGCAGUUGUGAGCCUGAUAAUAAAAUUUAAAAAGCAAAGCAGAAGUUAAAGGAAUACUAGAAUGUCAGGAACACAAAUGCGUUUAGGUGUCAGGAUCCCCUUACCUCCCUUUAAAGACUUAAAAACUCAUCUCGUUUACAGCAUCACACGGUCCAAUGCGACAGGCCCCAUUACACCUCCGUGGCUAAGAUAAUUAAAUUUGAUUUUCUCAGCCAAUCCAAUGAUUUACCAUAGGACUGCAUUGGGAGGGUAUCGCAUAUGGGCAGCAAAAUGGCCCGCUGCACUGUGGCAAACCUAGCCACUUAUAGACUUACACCGUAUAUUCAAGCCAAUUGUAUAUUCCUGCUACUGUUAAUUUUAUUGUGCAAUGUAUGCGGCAUUCGUGUGUUACAGCACAUGAAUACCACUGAUGUUAAGUCUGGUUAUCCACAAACAGUGAAUCACCACACUGUUCGUGGAAUAAGCAAAGUACCGAAUGGAAGACCACCCAUAGCCGGUCGUGUGUCUCCUAUUAUGUACUUUGCAACAUUGUCUCUGUGGCGAAACCAACCUCGCCACUGGGCAUUGGAGAAGCCUGUUUGCCCGCCUCGUGCCUGCUGACUAUGGCCCCUGGGAGAUUUGGCCCUUUUAAUACAGUAUUUGGGCAAUUGUAUUUUAUUAUGCUGCUGCUGGCCCUUUAAGAACCAUCUGGGGACAUACUGUGACUUUUGGGAACAAUACCCCUUGGAAGAUAUUACCUGUUAAAGACUAUUUUAGCAGAUUGGAUUUUAAAAGACUUGCUGCCCCUUUAAGUUGUUUUGGAGCAGUUCUGCAACUUUAAAUUGGCACUUCAGAUGCAGCCAAAGUGCCGAAGUAGUCGAAGUGGCUGCCAUUCGACAAAUAAACACGUUGCGGCGGCCAUCUUUAAUUCAGCUGAAGUUUUACCUUCUCCAAACUUCAAUGCAUUCAACAGUUCGAAUGGUUGUCGUUCGUCUGUUUGAACUGACUUUAACAUGGGAAAUAGACCGACCGCACAGCCUGAUUCUCUGGAACUGUUUUGGGCAUGAAAAUGUGCUUGCGGUCAGUCAAACUUGACAUAUCUAUCUCCCGAACGGCUGAACGGAUUCGAAUGAUUUUUGGGUAUGUUUAUAUUUGAAAUUAAUUAAUAAUAUGUAAUUUUUAUGAAAAUUGGAUGUAUAUUUUUAAAGUUAUAGUAUAUAUAUAUAUAUAUAUAUAAACUGUAUUUUUCCUUCUUGUGUUAAUUAUGUUAACCAUUGUGUACCAUAAUUAUAUCACAGGCAGAGGGGAGGAUUUUGUGUAUAAUUGCUGGGAGUGUUUUCUGUAAUGUACGUGUGUUAUUGGUUGUUCUGUAAAACCCUGUGGGCAGUACUAAGUUUGUGGAUUGGGAAUAAAAGAGGCUGUAUGUGCCAAUACAGUCAGUUCUACUUCACCCUCAAUUUGGAGUGCCUUCUCUUAUUGGGGGAAUCUGCUACAAGGGAUUGCUAUGCCCUGCAUACUCCCUUGCUACAUUCACUGCUAAGGUCUUGUAAGAGGUUGUUCCUGCCUUGCUCUCUGGAGGAGUCUACGGUGGUUAUGGUGUCGGCUGGAGUGCUUGGAGCCCUCAGGAAGCGCUAUGAGCAUCCAUCAACGGAGGUGCCCAGUAGGGGUGCCAGGUGAUCCGUUACAGUAUCUCUGUUAAUUGCGGUCUGUUACGGGUGGCCGCCAUUCGUGUACCGAACACGAGGCGGCGGCAAUCUUUGUUCGAGGAAAACCAGCGGGGUUUUGUCGUCGAGUGCCUGGAACUAAAUUUGGCUGCUCGGUAACACAAGCCCCGCUGGACUUCCGAGCCGUUCGGGAGUUUGCCGAUUUCGGGACUUUCAUUCCCUCCGUUCAGGCAAUCGGUUAAACAAAUUGGUCCUGAUAAGCUAUGUAAUAAAUGGUUAAAUAGCUGUCUAGCACAAAUAUUAUGUGGGUUAUGGAUUUUAAUAUGAAAACUAUAUUUCUCUGUACCAAGGGAUAAUCCCAUUAGCAAUGCAUUCUGGGAUGAUUAUCUCCUUGGUACAGCAAUCUAUGCUGGGUAUUCUGACUGUAAAACUAAGUCCCCCAUGUAGUCCCCUACUGGACAAACCCUGCAUUGUGCCUCGGGAAACCCCAUACAAUUGUAACCACAUAAAUACUGUGCCUGUGAAUAAAAACCUCAGUUGACCUCCAAACUAUGUGUCGUCUAGUUCUUGGGAGGAAGGGAUUAUUACUACGGUUUUACCUGCUUAUCCUGACUACCAGCGGAGAUACCGUGGAUUAAUCCUGUAACGGAUCACCUGGCACCCCGACUGGGUACCUCCAUUGAAGGAUGCUACUAGCGCUUCCUGAGGACUCCAAGCACUGCAGCAGACACCACAACCACCGAACCGGAGAAGCAUAUGAAUGCUCUCAAGCAUUUGAAUGUUGUAUACAGCCGAAUAGGAAAAACCAUGCGGAUGGGUUUACACUCCUAGCAUUCAAACUGAAACAGCAUAAAAUAAAUCCUCCCCCCAGACGACACUUCACUUUGAGGGUUAAGCAGGAACUGACUGGACUGGCACAUACAGCCUCUUUUAUUUCCAAUCCACAAAUUUAGUACUGCCCACAGGGUUUUACAGAACAACCAAUAACACACGUACAUUACAGAAAGACACUCCCACACAAAAUCCUCCCCUCUGCCUGUGAUACAAUUACCUUACACAAUGGGUAAUCUAAUUAUCACAGACAGAGAAAUACAGAUUCAUAAAACACAUCACAGGGACCCCAAAACAUGCAAUAACCCCAUUGGAACCGGGGGAUCUGGGUGAACCACAUAUCCAAAAUUCACCCAGAUCCGUUCAGUAGUUUAGAAGAUACAGUUUAAUGCAGAUUCUGUAGAACAUAUACAGGCUAAAUGAAAAACAAUCACUGUAUAAUGGGUCCCCUGCUGUAUAGUCCAAAACCACUGCAUGAUGUCUCUGUGCACCAAAUACUGGCGAUAUGGCACCGUGUUGAAAAGUCCAAACAGUGUCUGUGAGUUAAAAUGGCCGCCAUCCAUUGUUCUCACCAUGUGUUUCAUCCAUUGUUCUCACCAUGUGCCUCUGAUACAGGAAAUGGUGGCCACCCAGUAACUCCACAGUAUGUCCCCAGAUGGUUCUUAAAGGGCCAGCAGCAGCAAAACACAAAUCCCUUAUGACCAAAUCAUGUCUUUAAAGGGCAAUACAUCCCAGGGGCAUAGUCACAUGGCAGGAGGCUGGCAAUCAGUCUUCUCCAAUGCCCAGUGGCGAGGUCGGUUUCGCCACAAACCCCUAAUACUCCGCUACAAUUGGUGGCAAGCGACUGUAUUCAAACCACACAGCAAAGCAGCGUUCGGCAGUAUUUAUGCGAACGGAGAAAAAGGAAACAGCAAUUCGUGAAACAACCAUUCAAAUGAAACCGGAGUUUGGGAGUAAGAGGAAUUAUAUGAACAGUCGGUGAAUGGAAACAAAUUAUACACUGUUGAAACGGAAUACGCUAAAGGAACUACUGGAGGCAAGGGGAAUCAUAGACAAGAACAAGGCUACACUUACCGCGGAACUCAUGGAGGGAGACAGAGCAGCUGCUGCAGCACCUCAAAUGGAAGCAGAUCAGACGGAGUUUGGAAUCGAACUCAGGAGCAGAUUGGCAUUUUUACCUGAACCCCCAUCCCAAAACACAGUAGAAAGAAUCAUGGCAGAUGUACAGGCCCGACAACAAGCCACCCGGCAACCACGAGAAAGAUCACCAGCUCCAUCUAACCUUUCCCAGGGAAAAACUAAAUUCCCAUGCCAGGCCUUCAAAAAUUAUACGGAAGCGGAUGGAGAGGUAGAGGUAGAAGAUUACCUACAGGACUUUGAAAAGCUGUGCCAGCUGCAUGGCAUCAGUCCAGCAGACCAGGUACCCCUGCUAGCAGGUAGGCUAUCGGGCCGCGCAGCAGAGGCGUACCGCGCAGUCCCAGACGAGGACAGCAGAGACUACCAGAAGGUCAAACAGGCCAUCUUAGCCCCCAUUCGCCUUUUUACCGAAUGGUAGGGCCAUCACAUCCGAAGCCUACCGAAUUAAAUUCUGAGGCAUUAAGAAACAGGCAAAGGAUUUGCACGUCGAAUGGGCACACUGGUUACAACGCGCCGCUAAAGGAUGGAUUGAAGCGACGCAGGUCACAACACUAAAAGACCUGUUCCAAUUAGUUGCACUAGAACAGUUCUUUGACGGGCUAACCACAGAGCUGCAAAAUUGGAUCCGAGACCGAAAACCUCGUACCUUACCUGAAGCUGCCAGCUGGCAGACAAGUUUAAAGAUACCAGGCGAGAGCAAUGACCGCAACCACGGACCACCCCUGGAUAUAUAUCCGCUCCACCAGCAAUACCCCCUACAGUACAUUCUCGUCCAGGGGUAAGCAACCACUCAUACCCUCCCCGGUAUAAUAACCGACCACCCAUCCGAUGUCAUACCUGCAACCAGCAAGGGCACAUGCAAAGAAACUGCCCAAGGAACCGGCCUCGACCCAACUGGCAUAACCCGGGACCACCACCUCCUAGCAGAGAUGCAGUACAUUGUUACCAAAAAGAGCCUGUGGUUUCUCACACCCCAAACACCACCGUGGAAGAAGCUCUGGGAACACUACACGAGGUGAACCCCAUCCAGGCUGCCUCCGACAAUCGACAGGGGCAUCGCCAAGUCAUACACAUGGAGGGGAAAAGUAUGCAGGGACUACGUGACUCGGGGGCCACCUUAACGCUGGUCCGGACUCACCUGGUACCCAAGAACAACCUCACAGGAGAUUGUGUAGCUGUGCGGGUGGCAGGGGGGUCCAUUUACAAGGUACCUACAGCAAAGGUACAUUUGAAUUGGGGAGUGUGGCAUGGUGACGUGGAGGUGGGAAUGAUGCAGGACUUGCCCGCCGAUGUUAUUUUGGGCAACGACUUGGGGGAGCUCAAGUCCACCUUUAUCCCACAAUCCACCCCAGUAGUUACUCGGCAGCAGGCUCGCACCACUGGACUAUCGGAUCACUCUGAGGCUCAGGUAAGCAAUGUGCCUGUUAUCCCCUUAGAAUUUGGCAGCGAGGUAGCUUUAGACCCUUCCCUGCAAGUGUACAAAGAUAGGCUAGCCAAGGACCAAGGAGGGAUGGAGGGGGAGAGGUACGCUUGGGACAAGGGAUUAUUAUAUCGGCAUGCAGAGAAGGUAGUAGCCGGGUCUAUUCCCAUACCCAUCAAACAAUUAAUUGUGCCUCGGAAGUAUAGACGAGAGUUACUGCGCAUAGCGCAUGAUAUUCCCUUAUCCGGUCAUUUAGGGAUCAGUCGAACUUGGCAUUGGCUCACGCAGAACUUUUUUUGGCCAGGUAUUUCCAGGGAUAUUUUUUUGGCCAGGUUUUAACCUGUGAUACCUGUCAGAGGGUAGGUAAGCGAGGGGACCGCUAUAAAGCUAAACUCCAUUCCCUACCCAUAAUAGAAGAGCCUUUUAGUAGGGUGGCGGUAGACAUAAUCGGACCAUUAGCAAAGCCCAGUCCCUCCGGCAAGAAGUAAAUUUUGACCGUAGUGGACUACGCCACUAGAUAUCCCGAAGCAGUGGCCCUGACUAAUGUACAUGCCGAGACCGUAGCAGAUGCCCUUAUGCAAAUUUUCUCUCGCAUGGGAUUCCCGAGAGAUCAUUUCGGAUAGGGGCACCCAAUUCACCGCAGAGGUCACCCACCAGCUUUGGAAAAUCUGUGGGGUAAAAUCUAUACUUAACUCACCCUACCACCCUCAGUCCAACGCUCUCUGUGAACGGUUUAACGGAACACUGAAACAAAUGAUCCGUACAUUCAUAGACAUGCAGAAGGACUGGGAACAGUUUUUACCUCACUUACUCUUCGCGUAUAGAGAAGUACCUCAAGAAUCCAUGGGGUUCUCUCCUUUUGAAUUAUUAUUCGGAAGGAGGGUGAGGGGACCACUUGAUCUAAUCCAGGAACACUGGGAGGGAGAAGUAACAACUUCUACUGUACCAUAUGUGCUGGAGUUCUGGGAACGCUUGGAGGCUUUGAUCCAGACCGUACGCACCAACCCCCAGGCGACCCAACAACGACAGCGCAGAUGGAGGAGCCAGGGACCGCAGCUUUCAGAUCAGGCAGACGGUGUUAAUCCUACGACCGGUCAAGAAUGACAAGCUGCAGGCCUCCUGGCAAGGCCCAUACAAGGUGGUAGAGCAAAUCUGCGAUACCACCUAUGUGAUCGGCCCGUACGCUGGGGCAGGGGGCAGACGCAAGGUCCACAUGAACAUGUUGAAGCCCUACCACGAGUGCAUAGAAGAAGUGUCCGCUAUCUGCGCCUCGGCUGCAGAGGAUUUCGAUAAUUUACCGCUACCAGACCUACUAGAGAAAGAGAAGAAGAACGAAGAUCUGGAAGCUGUACAGCUAGGGCAACAUUUGAACCCUGAAGAACGGACUCAGGCUCAAAGUUUAAUUAGGGAAAAAAGGGGCCACCUUUUCUAAUCUCCUGGGGUACACCCCGUUAGCUACCCACCGAGUGGAGACCCCAGUACAGACACCCCUCCGCCAACCUCCUUACCACAUACCCGAAUCGGUAAAAGAGAAUAUGCGUAAGGAGAUUGAAUAAAUGUUACAGUUGAGGGUAAUCGAACAUUCAGAUAGCCCCUGGGCAUCCCCAGUAGUUCUGGUACAAAAGAAGGAUGGAACUACCCGCUUCUGUGUGGAUUACCAGAGGCUUAAUGAUAAGACUGUCUCGGACGCACACCCCAUGCCGCGAAUCGACGAACUCCUAGACAAAAUGGCAAGGGGCCAGUACCUCACCACUAUAGACCUCUGAAUUGGUAAUGUUUAGACACCCCUGGCACAAAGGAGUGAAAGCUUCCCCUUUUCUCAAUAAUGCAGGCUCAAUUCGUGUAUACCUCAACUGUACGAACUGAAGCCAGGGGAAUGCGCCAAUCUCCCGAAUGGGACCCAUACGGGUUCUCCAAACUCCCGAACAAUAAAUCCACGAAUCGCGGCUAACAGCCGAACAAAUAUAUCCUCCAAGCGGCUUACAUUUCCAGCAAUUAGUCAUUAACCGUGUGUAGUAAAUCCCCCCAAUAACGAGACCAAGCUCCGCAUUGAGGGUAAAACAUGAACUGGCUUUACAGUGGGCUACCCGCCCGUAUUUAUGCAGGUCUCCCACUUGGUGGACACUCCCCUAGGGGACCAAAUGGGAGACUGUAAUUGCAGACAGACAUAUGGCACUUUAAGACAUACAGGCACAAAAUAUUCCCAUAAUGCAUCCUGGUUUCCUCCCCUCUGCCCUGGAGAUAAUUGAGAAGUAAUUCAAUUAUCUCCCAGGACAGAGGCAAAUCGCUAUUUUACAUGAAGCAUAAAAAAUACAUGAAAAUAAAUAAUUAUACAACUACCGAACAUAUUACAUUCGUGCAACGUAUCCCCAGCCUGGAUCUGAGUGUAUAUUCUUAGCGAAUUGCGCUCAGAUCCCAUAUGUACAGUUCAAUCGCCAUGGAGUCAAAGUCUUUUACAGUCUUUCGGUAUGCGAUUGACUCCAUGGGAUGGCUAUCUGGGUUAAGUCCAUUCGUAUAAUCCAAACUCCCGAACGGGCCGGUGUUCGCAUGCCUUGACGAAUGAGAAGGGCGGUCUGUAGUCUCAGCGGUGUUCGGCAGAAAAAGUGUCUGUAACGGACCGUUUUGCACAAAAGGGGUAAAAACCGUUUAGGCGAUCGGCCCCCUUUCCAGAGAUGCAGGCACAGCUACUGCAGAACACCAAACACACAAACCGCCAAUAAGUGAAUGCUCCAAACACCCGAACUGCAUACAAGGGAAUGCUCCAAACACCCGAACUGCAUACAAGGGAAUGCUCCAAACACCCGAACUGGAACCUCACGAAUAGCUGCUAGCAGACGAACAGGAAAAGCACCCAAGCGGCUUACACUCCUGGCAAUCAGUCUCUAUCAGCAUACAGUAAACCCCCCCAAAGACGAGACAGAGCUCCGUGUUGAAGCUUCCCAUCUGUUUAAUGAGGGCUACCUGCCCAGUAUUUAUGCAGGUCUCCCACCUGGUGGACACUCCCCUAGGGGACCAAAUGGGAGACUGUGACAAGGGACAGACAAGCAGACAAAUAGGACACACAGUCACAUAUAUUCCCACAAUGCAUCCUGGCUUCCUCCCCUCUGCCCUGGGAGAUA